CCCACUACACAAACCCCAGGCUAUUCUCGCCUUUGUCCAGCUGUGCGCCCAUCUUUUGAUGUCACAGAACAGCCCCGCCCCACCCCAUUCCUUCGGAAGCCACGCCUCCUCGCGUGGCCCCGCCUCAGGCGUUCUCCGAGCCCCGCCCCCAGCCGCUCGCCGAAGAGUGGCGGCUCCCGCGCGUCCCCGUCCGGCCUCUCUUCCGGCCCCGCCCCUCUUGGCUGCCAUGACAACGAGUCCACGCCCCGCGCACAGCUUCUGCUCCGGCGGGACCCAGGCUGGACCGCGGGCCCCGGCCUGGGGGCCACAGCUGCCACCGCCGCCACCUCGCUCCUCCCCGUCCCCGCCCCGCCCCGCGUCUCCUCGCCUUACUCGGGCCCGCGGCAGGGGUCCGUCCCCGCCGCCCCACCCCGCGCGGAUGCCGAAGGUGAAGGCGCUGCAAUGCGCUCUGGCGCUGGAGAUCCGCUCCGUAACUUGCCCAGGAGUGGUGCUGAAAGACAAGGAGGACAUCUAUCUUAGCAUCUGUGUGUUUGGCCAAUACAAAAAGACACAAUGUGUCCCAGCCAAUUUUCCACUGGUCUUCAAUGCCAGAAUGGUGUUUGAAAAGGUGUUCCCUGAAGCAGUAGACCCUGGAGAUGUGGUUGCACAGCUUGAAUAUGAUACUGCAUUGUUUGAGUUGAUUCAACUAGUUCCACCAGUGGGUGAAACACUGUCUACAUAUGAUGAAAAUACACGAGAUUUCAUGUUCCCGGGUCCAAACCAAAUUUCUGGACACCAUGAUUCAAACCGCCAGGUUACCAUGAGGAGGAUUUCUGGCCUUCGAGGAAUUGCUCCAAAGCUGGAAUUUUCUACGACCUCAGUGAUAACUGAAUGUCUGAUAAGCUCAAGGAAGUGCCGCACUCAGGAUAAAUUUAUUUACCAUACGGCUCCAGUUGAAAAAUCACACGGCAGACUGCAAAGCAGAACAUCAAGAUCACAGAAGAAAAAAUCCAAGUCACCUGAGAGAAAUAAAUAUUGCAUAAAUGCAAAAAACUACGAACAGCCUACAAUUUCUUCAAAAUCACACUCUCCAUCUCCCUACACAAAAAGACGCAUGUGUGAGCUAUCUGAAGACACCAGGCGGCGGCUGGCCCAUUUAAAUCUGGGACCCUAUGAAUUCAAAAAAGAAACAGAUAAACCUCCAUUUGUGAUUAGACAUGUCGACCCUCCAAGUCCCAGGGCUGAUGCUUUAUUUGGUUCUCCUGGCAGAGACUGUGAAAGAGAUGGAUGGUCCAGGAUGCACAAUGAUCAUUCUCAUCUUGGUUGCUACCGACCCAAGGAUUAUAAGGUUAUCAGGACACCCCAUGGGAGAGACUACGAUGACUCCUUGGAAAGGUGUGAUGAGUAUUUAAGCUCAAGGUCAUGUAGCAAGCCCCAGAAUUCAGCAAGGACCCUACUAGUCCAUUCAGCACCCUCAACAAUGCCGAAGCAUUCUCCAAGUCCUGUGCUUAAUCGAGCUUCUCUCAGGGAAAGAUUCCAUUCUGAUUGGUGUUCACCUUCAAACUGCGAUGAGAUCCAUGACCGGGUAAAAAAUGUCUUGAAAUCACAUCAGGCUCAUCAAAGACGUUUAUAUAGAGAGACAGCGUGAGUGGGGGAGAGGCAAAGAGAGAGACAGGGAGACACAGAAUCCAAAGCAGGCUCCAGGAUCCAAACCCACUGAGCCACCCAGGCAACCCUCUUUGUCAUUUUAAAGAAGCUAUUCCAUCAUCAUCUGGCUUCUUUUAUGUCUUGAAAAGUCAGCUCCUACGCUUUUGAAGUAAUGAUGAGAGAGACCCAGAGAAAGAAGAUGAACUGGAGCUGAAAAGAGGUCUUUUAUACAGAGACUCUGCCUAUGACAGUGACCCAGAGUAUAGCUCAUUUCAGCGGCCACAUGACACUCUCCAUUUGGAUGACGGUGAAUACUGGUCCAACAGGGCAGCGUCUUAUAAAG